GCUUCAGUAGCUCAGUUGGUUAUAGAGCACCUCUGACUGUUAAUCAGGGGGUCGUUGGUUCAAGCCCAUCCUGAAGCG
rnacentral:tRNA from 1 species